GGACAUUUCUAAUUAUACAUAAUCACCAAAACAUACCUAUAAGUAACACUGUCUGAAAGUAUAGGAUCUUCAGUUUGUCAAGAAAGUCGGACACAAGGGACACUCUGUGCAGCACCUGUAGGUACCAUGUUUUUUCAUGAGUUGCCUGCUUCCCAUUUCAUUUCGUAGUCAACUCUUCCAUGUCAUGUAUAAAUUUGAGUUUAGCUUGGAGAAAUGGAGCUCACUGUCCAUUUCCCCCCCCCAAGUAGAUUAUUUCUGCAUUACAAAUCUUAUAUAAUUUAAGUGUAAUUGGAUACAAGUUGAAAUGAGGAGUAUAAAGGUGUUUGACAGGCAACAUAUGGCUUUGUUUUAUCUUAAACUUUAAAGGGACCCUAUAGUUACCAGAACAACUACAGUUUAAUGUAGUUGUUCUGGUGUCUGUCUGUGCCUGAAGGCUUUUUAAUGUAAACACUGCCUUUUCAAGGAAAAUAUAGUGUUUCUAUUACUGCCCAGGAACAACUCCAGUGGCAGUCACUCAGAUUGUCACUAGAGGUCUUUCCUGGGUCAGUGCUGCACAAUGCGCAGCACUGAAGUUCAGUAUCUCCAUGCCCUUCAUGGAGACGUUGAAUGUUCCUCAUACAAAUGCAUUGAUUCAAUGCAUCUCUAUGACAAGAUGCUGAUCGGUGCAGCAUGCACUCGACUCCCAAUACUUUCCUAUGGGCAAGCAUUGAAUUGGC